rnacentral:rRNA from 1 species
UACGUAGGGCGCAAGCGUUGUCCGGAAUUAUUGGGCGUAAAGGGCUCGUAGGCGGUCUGUUGCGUCGGGAGUGAAAACUUACAGCUUAACUGUGAGCGUGCUUCCGAUACGGGCAGACUUGAGGUAUUCAGGGGAGAACGGAAUUCCUGGUGUAGCGGUGAAAUGCGCAGAUAUCAGGAGGAACACCGGUGGCGAAGGCGGUUCUCUGGGAAUAUCCUGACGCUGAGGAGCGAAAGUGUGGGGGAGCGAACAGG